rnacentral:ncRNA from 1 species
AGUACAAAAAUGCCUAACUAUAUAAACAAAGCGAAUAUAAUACACUUGAAUAAUUUUGAACGAAAGGGAAUACGGUUCCAAUUCCGUAACCUGUUGAGUAUCCGUUUGUUAUUAAAUAUGGGCCUCGUGCUCAUCCUGGCAACAGGAACGACCAUAAAGAAGCCGUCGAGAGAUAUCGGAAGAGUUUUCUUUUCUGUUUUAUAGCCGUACUACCAUGGAAGUCUUUCGCAGAGAGAUAUGGUAGAUGGGCUAGAAGAGCAUGACAUAUACUGUUGUGUCGAUAUUUUCUCCUCGGACCUUGAAAAUUUAUGGUGGGGACACGCAAACUUCUCAACAGGCCGUACCAAUAUCCGCAGCUGGUCUCCAAGGUGAAGAGUCUCUAGUCGAUAGAAUAAUGUAGGUAAGGGAAGUCGGCAAAUUAGAUCCGUAACUUCGGGAUAAGGAUUGGCUCUGAAGAUUGAGAUAGUCGGGCUUGAUUGGGAAACAAUAACAUGGUUUAUGUGCUCGUUCUGGGUAAAUAGAGUUUCUAGCAUUUAUGUUAGUUACUUGUUCCCCGGAUAGUUUAGUUACGUAGCCAAUUGUGGAACUUUCUUGCUAAAAUUUUUAAGAAUACUAUUUGGGUUAAACCAAUUAGUUCUUAUCAAUUAUAACGAUUAUCAAUUAACAAUCAAUUCAGAACUGGCACGGACUUGGGGAAUCCGACUGUCUAAUUAAAACAAAGCAUUGUGAUGGCCCUAGCGGGUGUUGACACAAUGUGAUUUCUGCCCAGUGCUCUGAAUGUCAAAGUGAAGAAAUUCAAGUAAGCGCGGGUCAACGGCGGGAGUAACUAUGAGUAAAUUGUACCUCUCAGUUGAUGGUAGCGGACUCCGUGAAGCAGGCCAUUGGGGCCCGCAACACGGGUGGGUUAAUCAACCCACGCGUUUACUAACAGGAAAGGAAUAUAUAGACGGUAUUCGUCUGCGGAUAAAUGCCCUACCCACGAAGUCUCGUACUACAAGGGGAAGGCACGAAUUGGAACGACAGUGUCGUGCAGGAUGUGACGCUCCCGAAACAACAAACCAUAUUAUGCAAAAAUGUUACCGAUCGCAUGGGAGGCGCAUAGCUAGACACAACUGCGUAGUAAAUCGAAUCAAGCGGGGACUUGAGGAGAGAGGCUGCGUAGUCAUUGUUGAACCAAGUCUGCAGUGCGAAUCCGGUCUUAAUAAACCAGACCUGGUGGCACUACGACAAAAUCACAUUGAUGUGAUCGACAUACAAAUUGUGACAGACGGACACUCUAUGGAUGAUGCACACCAGCGCAAAAUCAAUAGAUACGACAGACCGGACAUACGAACUGAGUUGCGUCGCAGAUUCGAAGCCGCAGGUGACAUUGAAUUCCAUUCUGCCACCCUGAACUGGAGGGGGAUCUGGAGUGGUCAAUCCGCUAAAAGAUUGAUAGCGAAGGGUCUCCUCAGCAAAUAUGAUAGUCAUAUCAUUAGCGUCCAGGUUAUGAGAGGCAGUCUCGGUUGUUUUAAACAGUUCAUGUACCUGAGCGGGUUUUCCCGAGAUUGGACUUAGCUAAAACGUUUGGUUCAAAACAUUUGCUUGCUGUCUUGGCAUAACAUCAAUAAAGGCAUAAACAUCGCAAAUAAUGGUAAUAUAUAAAUUGGCUAUGAGGAUGGUUUUAGUACGUAGGCGUUGCGGAACUUCGGUUCAGAUAGAGCAAUGAAUCGUGCAUGCUAGGAAACUGAAGUGUUGACAGACCUAGUAUCUUUCGAUAGAUUUCCAUACCUCCGCGAUCAAAAAAAAAAAAAAAAAAAAAAAUAGCCAAAUGCCUCGUCAUCUAAUUAGUGACGCGAAUGAAUGGAUUAACGAGAUUCCUACUGUCCCUAUCUACGCGUGACGCGCAUGAAUGGAUUAACGACGGACGUGUUUUCGUUGCGCUCGU